AUACGUAGGGGGCGAGCGUUGUCCGGAAUGAUUGGGCGUAAAGGGCGCGUAGGCGGCUUUGCAAGUCAGUAGUGGAAGUCCAUUUUUCAAGGAUGGAAGUGCUACAGAAACUGCGGAGCUUGAGUGCAGGAGAGGUUAUCGGAAUUCCCGGUGUAGCGGUGAAAUGCGUAGAGAUCGGGAGGAACACCAGUGGCGAAGGCGGGUAACUGGACUGCAACUGACGCUGAGGCGCGAAAGUGUGGGGAGCAAACAGGAUUAGAUACCCUGGUAGUCCACACUGUAAACUAUGAUAACUAUCUUUUAGCGAUACACAGUUAGAGGGUACGAGAAAUCAUUAAGUUAUCCACCUGGGGAUUACGUUCGCAAGAAUGAAACUCAAAUGAAUUGACGGGG
rnacentral:rRNA from 1 species